rnacentral:rRNA from 1 species
GAUGAACACUAGGUGUCGGGGGAAUCGACCCCCUCGGUGUCGUAGCCAACGCGUUAAGUGUUCCGCCUGGGGAGUACGCACGCAAGUGUGAAACUCAAAGGAAUUGACGGGGGCCCGCACAAGCGGUGGAGUAUGUGGUUUAAUUCGAUGCAACGCGAAGAACCUUACCAGGGUUUGACAUCCUGCGAACCCCCUGGAAACGGGGGGGUGCCUUCGGGAACGCAGUGACAGGUGGUGCAUGGCUGUCGUCAGCUCGUGUCGUGAGAUGUUGGGUUAAGUCCCGCAACGAGCGCAACCCACGUCGUUAGUUGCCAGCAUUCAGUUGGGCACUCUAGCGAGACCGCCGGUGGUAAACCGGAGGAAGGUGUGGAUGACGUCAAGUCAUCAUGCCCCUUACAUCCUGGGCUACACACGUACUACAAUGCUACGGACAAAGGGUUGCAAGCUCGCGAGAGUUAGCUAAUCCCAUAAACCGUGGCUCAGUUCAGAUCGUAGGCUGCAACUCGCCUACGUGAAGGAGGAAUCGCUAGUAAUCGCAGGUCAGCAUACUGCGGUGAAUACGUUCCCGGGCCUUGUACACACCGCCCGUCACACCAUGGAAGUUGGCCACGCCCGAAGUCGUUACUCCAACCCGUAAGGGAGGAGA